rnacentral:rRNA from 1 species
GCUCUCAUCCCCAAGAAGGAUGGUGAGGAAUGCAUCUCGGAUUUCCGCCCCGUUAGCCUCAUCCACACCAUCGCGAAGAUCAUUGCCAAGAUGAUGGCCAACCGUCUGGCCCCCCACAUGCAUGAUCUUGUCUCCAACGCCCAGAGUGCAUUCAUCAAAAAGAGAAGCAUCCGUGACAACUUUUUGUUCGUCAAGAACUUGGCAAGAAAGUUCCAUCGCAACCGCUCCCCGAUGCUCUUAUUCAAACUAGACAUCAAAAAGGCGUUUGAUUCUGUACGUUGGGACUUCCUUAUGGAUCUACUGAAACACCUCCGUUUCCCGGACAGAUUUCGUGACUGGGUUUCAGCUUUGCUCUCUACCGCCACUUCAAGGGUGUUGAUCAAUGUAGUUUUGGGUGAUCCACUGAAGCAUGGAUGUGGCCUUCGCCAGGGGAUCCCGCUUUCCCCUCUUCUCUUCGUCCUGGCUAUCGAUCCGCUCCACCACCUCCUCUGCAAGGCCACGGCCCAAGGACAACUACACCCUCUGUGUGGUAGAUCUUCACCCGUUCGGGCCUCGCUCUAUGCCGACGAUGCCGCCAUCUUUGUGAAGCCCAUUAAGGAAGACGUCCAAUUCCUUGCUGCUACCCUGGCCUCUUUUGGAGAGGUGUCUGGCCUCGUCACUAAUUGUGCCAAAAGUCUGGUUGCUCCCAUCUGA